rnacentral:rRNA from 1 species
GACCUUCGGGCCUCUUGCCAUCAGAUGUGCCCAGAUGGGAUUAGCUAGUAGGUGGGGUAACGGCUCACCUAGGCGACGAUCCCUAGCUGGUCUGAGAGGAUGACCAGCCACACUGGAACUGAGACACGGUCCAGACUCCUACGGGAGGCAGCAGUGGGGAAUAUUGCACAAUGGGCGCAAGCCUGAUGCAGCCAUGCCGCGUGUAUGAAGAAGGCCUUCGGGUUGUAAAGUACUUUCAGCGGGGAGGAAGGCGUUGAGGUUAAUAACCUCAGCGAUUGACGUUACCCGCAGAAGAAGCACCGGCUAACUCCGUGCCAGCAGCCGCGGUAAUACGGAGGGUGCAAGCGUUAAUCGGAAUUACUGGGCGUAAAGCGCACGCAGGCGGUCUGUCAAGUCGGAUGUGAAAUCCCCGGGCUCAACCUGGGAACUGCAUUCGAAACUGGCAGGCUAGAGUCUUGUAGAGGGGGGUAGAAUUCCAGGUGUAGCGGUGAAAUGCGUAGAGAUCUGGAGGAAUACNCGGUGGCGAAGGCGGCCCCCUGGACAAAGACUGACGCUCAGGUGCGAAAGCGUGGGGAGCAAACAGGAUUAGAUACCCUGGUAGUCCACGCCGUAAACGAUGUCGACUUGGAGGUUGUGCCCUUGAGGCGUGGCUUCCGGAGCUAACGCGUUAAGUCGACCGCCUGGNGGAGNUACGNGCCGCAAGGUUAAAACUCAAAUGAAUUGACGGGGGCCCGCACAAGCGGUGGAGCAUGUGGUUUAAUUCGAUGCAACGCGAAGAACCUUACCUACUCUUGACAUCCAGAGAACUUUCCAGAGAUGGAUUGGUGCCUUCGGGAACUCUGAGACAGGUGCUGCAUGGCUGUCGUCAGCUCGUGUUGUGAAAUGUUGGGUUAAGUCCCGCAACGAGCGCAACCCUUAUCCUUUGUUGCCAGCGGUCCGGCCGGGAACUCAAAGGAGACUGCCAGUGAUAAACUGGAGGAAGGU